rnacentral:lncRNA from 1 species
GCGCGCCCGGACUGCAGGACGAGCUGGAGCUGGGCUGCUCGACCACUCCGCGCCCGGGGACUCGGCGACCUGGGGCCGGGAGCGCUGGGCAGGUAACGUGUAUUGGACCGGGCUGGGGGCUCCGGGAGGCCCGGGGGCGGCCCUUCCCCGACUUCUGUCCCCGCGGUGGCCCGCGCCGGGGCAGGAAGCCGAAGUGGGUGUGGAGCGCCAGAGCGGGAGAGAAACUUCAAUGAGACCAGUCCAGAGAGGCCGGCGCGACACGGGCACCCUGUCGCCCUCCUCCCUAAACCCUCCCGGGCCACUCCUUCCCCGUGUUUCCCCGAUCCGGAGGCCCUCCGACUCCCACCCUGGCUCUCCCGAGCCCCACUGUCGCCCUGGCAGGUACUUUUAGGGACUUGUUGGCCCCGGAGGCCAGCCUUGAGCCCGGUCCUUCCGGCUGCUCCGCAGCCCCUCGCACGUGGCAGGCAAGCAGGCUGCGGAGAACUUUGCUGCGUCUUCUAGGAAAUUGCAAUCGAUUUGUAACGCACUUUCGCUAAUUGGGAGUUCAGAAUUAAACUUUAAUAAAGCAUUUGUGUUGUCUCCUCU